rnacentral:rRNA from 1 species
UCAGAUNGAACGCUGGCGGCAGGCUUAACACAUGCAAGUCGAGCGGUAACAGGAGAAGCUUGCUUCUUGCUGACGAGCGGCGGACGGGUGAGUAAUACUUAGGAAUCUACCUAGUAGUGGGGGAUAGCUCGGGGAAACUCGAAUUAAUACCGCAUACGACCUACGGGAGAAAGGGGGCAGUUUACUGCUCUCGCUAUUAGAUGAGCCUAAGUCGGAUUAGCUAGUUGGUGGGGUAAAGGCCUACCAAGGCGACGAUCUGUAGCUGGUCUGAGAGGAUGAUCAGCCACACCGGGACUGAGACACGGCCCGGACUCCUACGGGAGGCAGCAGUGGGGAAUAUUGGACAAUGGGGGCAACCCUGAUCCAGCCAUGCCGCGUGUGUGAAGAAGGCCUUUUGGUUGUAAAGCACUUUAAGCAGUGAAGAAGACUCCAUGGUUAAUACCCAUGGACGAUGACAUUAGCUGCAGAAUAAGCACCGGCUAACUCUGUGCCAGCAGCCGCGGUAAUACAGAGGGUGCAAGCGUUAAUCGGAAUUACUGGGCGUAAAGCGAGCGUAGGUGGCUUAAUAAGUCAGAUGUGAAAGCCCCGGGCUUAACCUGGGAACGGCAUCUGAUACUGUUAGGCUAGAGUAGGUGAGAGGNAGGUAGAAUUUCAGGUGUAGCGGUGAAAUGCGUAGAGAUCUGAAGGAAUACCGAUGGCGAAGGCAGCCUNCUGGCAUCAUACUGACACUGAGGUUCGAAAGCGUGGGUAGCAAACAGGAUUAGAUACCCUGGUAGUCCACGCCGUAAACGAUGUCUACUAGUCGUUGGGGAACUUGAUUCCUUAGUGACGCAGCUAACGCAAUAAGUAGACCGCCUGGGGAGUACGG